GAGGGUGUGUGCGUGUAUGUCUCACUGUGUCCUUAAUACUCCUUCUCUCUGGUGCCCACCAUAUGGUUCUAUGUGGCCUGGCGAUGCCCGUCCCUUGAACAGUAAUUCAGGAAGAAGUCAUCGAAUGGUGGAGGGCAGUCUGCAAGGCAUUAAUGGAGCUACCAUAGUGGGUCCUCAGAGUUCACGUGGGCUCAACCUCUUUUACAAGGGAAGAAUAGACUGGCUGGGGUUAAAGCCUGACCUGUAAUAAAGACAGUGAGUUUGUAUAUGCCUAUCUAGCAAAGCUGGACUGGAACCCAGUUUUGGGGACACUGGUCUUUGGGAACAUUGUCUUAGAGACACAACUAACAAUAGCAUUUUAUAAUAAUUAUUCAUGGUCAGUUUCAUGAGUGUUAUGAAAAUCCAUGGCUGUGGAUCAAUAAUUCAUAUCUACUUAAAUGAAUCUAUUUUAGCAAUGGAAUGAGUGAGGCCUAUAUGUGUUUUCUUUCUUUCUUUUUUAAUAAUUAGAAAGUUAUUUUUAUUGUUUCUUUUUAGUUAUACAUGACAGUAGAAUUGUUUUGAUAAAAUUACACAUGCAUUUUUAUAUCUUAUUCUAAUCAGGACCCCAUUCUUCUGGGUAUAUACAAUGAUGAAUUUGCUAAGUUUUUUUUAUAUAUAUAUAUAUAUAUAUAUAUAUAUAUAUAUAUAUAUAUGAAAAUUAUAUCCGAUUCAUUUUACUGUCUCCUAUUCCUAUCCCCUUCCCUUCCCUACAUUCCGCUUUGUCUAAUGUACUGAACUUCUCUUCUUCUCACGCUCCCUUAUUUAUGUGGUUUGGCUUCUACAUAUCAACAAAAAUAUUCAACCUUUGAUUUUGGGGGAUUGGCUUAUUUCACUUAGCAUCAUAGCCUCCAGAUUCAUCCAUUUACUAAUAAAUGUCAUAAAGUUAUCCUUUAUGGCUGAGUAAUACUUCAUUGUGUCUAUGUACCACAUUUUCUUUAUCCAUUCACCUGUUGAAGGGCACCAAGUUUGGCUCCAUAGCUUAGCUAUUAUGAAUUGUGAUGCUAUAAACAUUGAUGUGGCUGUGUUACUGUGGGAUGCUGAUUUUAAAUCAUUUGGAUAUAUGCUGAGGAGUG
rnacentral:lncRNA from 1 species